UCUCUUGAGAGCGGCGGACGGGUGAGUAAUGCCUAGGAAUCUGCCUGGUAGUGGGGGAUAACGCUCGGAAACGGACGCUAAUACCGCAUACGUCCUACGGGAGAAAGCAGGGGACCUUCGGGCCUUGCGCUAUCAGAUGAGCCUAGGUCGGAUUAGCUAGUUGGUGAGGUAAUGGCUCACCAAGGCGACGAUCCGUAACUGGUCUGAGAGGAUGAUCAGUCACACUGGAACUGAGACACGGUCCAGACUCCUACGGGAGGCAGCAGUGGGGAAUAUUGGACAAUGGGCGAAAGCCUGAUCCAGCCAUGCCGCGUGUGUGAAGAAGGUCUUCGGAUUGUAAAGCACUUUAAGUUGGGAGGAAGGGCAUUAACCUAAUACGUUGGUGUCUUGACGUUACCGACAGAAUAAGCACCGGCUAACUCUGUGCCAGCAGCCGCGGUAAUACAGAGGGUGCAAGCGUUAAUCGGAAUUACUGGGCGUAAAGCGCGCGUAGGUGGUUUGUUAAGUUGGAUGUGAAAUCCCCGGGCUCAACCUGGGAACUGCAUUCAAAACUGACAAGCUAGAGUAUGGUAGAGGGUGGUGGAAUUUCCUGUGUAGCGGUG
rnacentral:rRNA from 1 species